rnacentral:lncRNA from 1 species
CUUGAAGAUCUUAGAAGAUAACUUAAGUGAGGGGGGCUGGAGAAAAAAUUUAGACCCUAUGGAGGCAUAUAAGGAAUCUGCUCUUUUAGAACAUAUUUUUGAAAUUUGGUGAGAUUGGACUCUUACGAGGAGUGAUUGAGAAGCUGCACUCUCAGAGAGUGAAGAACUCAAUUCCAGGGAGCUUGACAUAGGUGGUGCAUGAAGUGUCUCAAGAGGAAGCAGAGAAUAAGAUCUCAGUUACACAGUCUGGGCAAGAAUACAAGAAAAUCACCCAAAAAACUGCGACCAUCAGAGGAGCCUCCAUGUUAGAGUCUCUGGGCCUCUGUCUCUUCAGAAUCCACCCUGGAAACAGUGUGCAUCAAAACACUUUGGAGUUCUUAGAGGCACUUGGAAUUAUCUGCUGGCUUCCCACCUUUAAAGAGACUGGGCUAGUUAAAUAUCCCCCUCUGUUCAUUUUUUUAAAUUUGAGUUUGUCAGUUCACAAUACCAGAAGAUCUGAAAGAAAAAUAAAAACAAAACCCAGAACCUCUUUGGGCUUCUCAGGCAAUAGAGAAAGACUUCCACGUACUCAGAAGACCAUCGUCAGUUAACAAAAGCCAGGUAGAAGAAUGAAUCUGGAUCCCUACCUCACAACCUAUACAGAAAUUAACUCCAGCUGGAUCAUUAAAUCUAAACAUAAGAGUGAAAAUUGUAAGCUCUUAGAAAAAAAUGCAGUGGUAAAUACUUAUGAAUUCGAAUUAGACAAUGGUUUUUAGAUAUGAAAACAAAAACACAAGCAACAAAGGAAAAAGUAGAUUUGAUGACUGGACAUCAUUAUAAUGAGAAACUUUUGUGCUUCAAAGGACAUCACCUAGAAAGUGAAAAGGCAACAUGCAGAAUGAAAGAAAAAUUUGCAAGU